rnacentral:rRNA from 1 species
AACCUGCCCAAGAGAUCGGGAUAACACCUGGGAAACAGAUGCUAAUACCGGAUAACAANAGAUGAUGCCUAUCAACUGUUUAAAAGAUGGUUCUGCUAUCACUCUUGGAUGGACCUGCGGUGCAUUAGCUAGUUGGUAGGGUAACGGCCUACCAAGGCGAUGAUGCAUAGCCGAGUUGAGAGACUGAUCGGCCACAUUGGGACUGAGACACGGCCCAAACUCCUACGGGAGGCAGCAGUG